rnacentral:snRNA from 1 species
UCCCUUUGGUAGGACAUGCACUAAAAUUGGAAUGAUAUCGAGAAUAUUAUCAUGGCCCCUGCACAAGAAUGAAAGGCAAAUUCAUGAAGCAUUCCACAUUUUU